rnacentral:lncRNA from 1 species
CGCCGGCCCUGCCCCUCCUCGCCCCUCAGGGCCCCGGCCGGAGCCGGCCGGCACGCACCGCCCUGCGGAGCCCUGGAGGGACGGCGGACGAGGGUCCAGCACCAUAGCGAGACGACAAACGUGUCUUCAAGCAGACAUUUCAUUGGACUGACGCUGAGGCAAAAGGACGCCCCUUACUAGCAAAAAUACUACUUUCAUGAGAAGAGGUUUCCUGUAUUUAUUCUAAAGCUUCUCUAAGAUUUAAGAGUUGAAGGAGUUGAUUUUUUUUUUUGUUGUUGUUGUUUGAAGGAAAUCCAAAACUCCUGUUCAAAAGACAAGUGUUUUGACCCUUAGAGAUGCUAUGAAUUCUGGCUUCUCAUACUGUUAAUUUUGCUUAGGUCUGGAAAUGUGAGUAACAUUUAUGAGAUCUCUGUAAGUGUCUGUAGUGUCCAAACCUGUCUGUUACAUUAAGAGGAGAAAUUUAUUUCUGUGAGUCUUGAUUAUUGUAAAGAUUUAAGAUAUAAGAAAAUUAUAUUUUCCUGAAUUGGCAGCCAAACUGGACCAAGAAGAUUAUCCAAAUUAUUUCACCAUCCUAAUUUUUGGAUACCUUUCUAGUGAAUAAACUUGGGGUUUCAGAUCCUCUAGAAAUACGU